rnacentral:rRNA from 1 species
GACGAACGCUGGCGGCGUGCUUAACACAUGCAAGUCGAACGGAAAGGCCCUGCUUUUGUGGGGUGCUCGAGUGGCGAACGGGUGAGUAACACGUGAGUAACCUGCCCUUGACUUUGGGAUAACUUCAGGAAACUGGGGCUAAUACCGGAUAGGAGCUCCUGCUGCAUGGUGGGGGUUGGAAAGUUUCGGCGGUUGGGGAUGGACUCGCGGCUUAUCAGCUUGUUGGUGGGGUAGUGGCUUACCAAGGCUUUGACGGGUAGCCGGCCUGAGAGGGUGACCGGCCACAUUGGGACUGAGAUACGGCCCAGACUCAUACGGGAGGCAGCAGUGGGGAAUAUUGCACAAUGGGCGGAAGCCUGAUGCAGCAACGCCGCGUGCGGGAUGACGGCCUUCGGGUUGUAAACCGCUUUCGCCUGUGACGAAGCGUGAGUGACGGUACUGGGGAAAGAAGCACCGGCUAACUACGU